rnacentral:misc_RNA from 1 species
UAAAUAUUUAGUGACAUGUUCGAUUUAGUGAAAGAAGGAUCUCAAGAAUAUGUAGUCAUUAUCCGAGGAGGGGGGCAUCACCCUGUCUCCGUUAUGAAAAGGUACGGAAUUUUGGUAUUCUGCAUCAUUAUCGUGACGUUCAUUUAUUUUUCAGAUCCUGAUUUCUGAAAAUUCAUCGGAAAGCACGACAUUUUUUCAGCUAUAGCUCAUUCUGAUACUUCAGCGAUUCUAUAAAACAUUUCCAAUACAUUUACGUGUGUAUGUACAUUGAGCGUAGGUAUUCGUGGCAAUAUCAUCAUUCUGAGUCUAUAAAGCUCAUCGACAUUGACUUAAUAUUUUCUUUCGUUUAUCAAGCUAUUCACCGUGCAGGUGUGAACCCGUUGGGAACUCAUGAAAGCAAUCUUUAAAUCUUUAUUCCUUCAUUUAAAGAAAUCAAUAUCCGACCCGAUUCAUCACAAUUAUCGUCAUCACCUUCCGUCAGCCAAUGAUUCCCAAUGGAAAUCAAACGGAUGGAUAAUCUCUUCUGCAGCAGUUAAUAGAGAAUCGAAUACGAACUUGAAAUUACUGAACAGUUUUAGUCAAACAGCUAGUGGACGGACUACAUUCUGCCAAAAGCAUACAUUAUAAGCUGAAACUAAUUUGGUCUAGACAAGGAGAGUGAUAUCUCCUUGGUCUAGAUAAGAAGAAUUAAAUACGGCCCGUAUAAUACGGAGCUUCGCUUGAACCGACUGGAUGUGACCUAAACUAUUGUGAUAUUGAGGUUUAGAUUCAUGAUGUAGUUUUGAUAACGAAAAAGCAUCAAUUCAUUACCUAGGAGAUUUUUUCAAAUUUUGUAUAUCAUCUUUCAACAAUGUAAAAUGACAGAGAGUGCAGCAUAUCCAAAGACGGGGCAAUCCAACUCCAACGCAAAGACAAAGCUUCAGUUACUACUACGACAGAUUGAGAAGGCAUCUCGACUGGCUGAAUUUCGAGUUGAUCGAAUCAAGGAUCAACUUCGUCAUGAUCUGAUUGAUUUAAAAGCUAAUAAACUAGCCAUGAAAUCACAUGCAGUUAGCUUCAGGCAUCUCAACUGUAUGGAUGAAAGUCAACAAAGAGAUAUGCUCAAAGUGGUUUCGCAACGAGGUCGUUACUACUAUUCAUUAAAAAGUGAGGUUAAAGUUCACAUUGACAGAAUGAGCUCCUACAAUCCACGCCUUGAACGUGCCAAACGACUUCUUAUUCCUGCAAGACGAGAGUCACUAGAGGCUAUGGAGAGAGGAGUAUUAAAUCUACCCGAUCUAGACGGGAGCCUUGCUAUGAAACGAAACAUGACGAUGCUGGCUGAUUUGAGUUUGGUUGAAGGAGAGCAAAGGGAAUCGAAUACACCAGAAUGUCUUAUAUUUCCAAGAAUAUGAAAAAUAUAAUUAUACCGAGUUAUUCAGAAAGAAUAGGCCUCAAAAUUACCAAACCUUGUCAUGAGUACAGAAAGAUAUCUUGAAAAGAACAUGUUGUCCCAAAUAAUCUGAUACCAUUUUCUGCGGAUCGAAGGAUAGGCCUAUAUACUUACUGCACGUAAUAUAAAAGCCAAUUCAUCAUCAUCAUCAUCAUCAUUAUUAUUAUUAUCAUUAUUAUUAAUAUUAUUUGUGUUUCAUGAAUCCAGAUAUCAAUGCAUGAAUUGCAUUAAAAUGUAUAGCAAAAUAUAAUUUCAACUUAAUUGACCUAAAAAUUGUUUGAUAAAUAUACUUUUUGUCAAUUUUCACGUGCAAUAAAGUUUACUGCAAUUGAUGUAGGAAUAUGGAUCCAUGGACAUCUAGAUAAUUCGUUGCAGUCAUGCAUAUUAUACCAUGUACAAAUGAAGUAGGGGGAAACCUUCUGAAGUAGGUGGGGCGAGAGAAGUAGGGGAAAAACCUACUGAAGUAGGGGGAAACCCCGGUGUAGUGGUCCACCUGCAUUCCCCAUCAGUUAUAUAUGGAGGAGAGACCUGCAGGUCA